rnacentral:rRNA from 1 species
UACGUAGGGUGCAGGCGUUAAUCGGAAUUACUGGGCGUAAAGCGUGCGCAGGCGGUCUUUUAAGUCAGAUGUGAAAUCCCCGGGCUUAACCUGGGAACUGCGUCCGAUACUGGAUGGCUUGAAUCCGGGAGAGGGAUGCAGAAUUCCAGGUGUAGCGGUGAAAUGCGUAGAUAUCUGGAGGAAUACCGGUGGCGAAGGCGGCAUCCUGGACCGGCAUUGACGCUGAGGAGCGAAAGCCAGGGGAGCAAACGGG